AUGGCCGCUUGGGAGCGAAGGCGAAGAAGCCCCAGAGAGGGAACGAAGAUAAAGGUUCCUGCCCAAGACUGCCUGCAUGGGGGACUGCUGCAUAUUAUUGGAGGAGCCAGAAAGACUUCGCUGCUCCUGGACGGAGGAAGCAUUGGUAGAGGGAGUCUCGGAGCUCAAAGGAAACUACCCCAAGUCUUAGUCCUGCAGCGAGACGGGGACUUCCAGCUUUGCAGCUUCUGUGAGCGGCCGGAGGCUGGGGAGCCCUGGCGACGGCGGCGAGGGCGCCCGUGGAUUAGGGUGUGGAUUGCAGGACAGACCUUUGUUUGGUCACAUUCUCGACGGGGGUGCGGGGGAGGGUCAUUCUCCUUCGAGAUCGCGCUAGAUUUUUAUAGACUCGCCUUAAAAGAACUCGCCGCUCUUCAUAGGGUUAAUUUAUGGGGCUUUCGAGGAAUAUUGGGGACUUUUAGGACUCUCUUUAUUUUUUUUCCCAUUAAUUUUUUUUUUUUUUCGGUUCUACUAAAGUGACGCCCGGGUUUCAGCACCUCGCAGGAAGAGGGUGGGGGUGGGAGAAAGAACAGGGCCAGGAGGGAAAGGGGAGGAUGAGCCUCCUAACCAAAGCGCUUACAGGGCCCAGGCUGCACAACGUAUUUUUAAAAAUUAAAUUUCUAAUCUUGUUGUGGGCCGUAAAACUCAGAUUUAGGAAGUGGGGGGAAAUUGAAACAAAUGUGGGCUCUAUCUACCUUUUUCCAGGUCUCCACCAAUUUGAAUUCAGUAUUAGGGAGAAGAAUUUGGGGCCUUAAAAAUGUUAAGUUUAAAAAAGUACAGACCAGAGGAAGGAUUAGAGUAGCAGGUGAGGGGGGCGGGAAGGAAAAGCCCCUGGACCGCGAACGGUCUGCGCGGGGUUGCUGCCCCAGCUCUCCCCAGCCUCAGGAGCGCAGAGGUGGGCGACCAGGACUGAAGGCUCGGGAUGCCUGGGCUCCUGGGGGCCCCGACCUCCAGCUCGCCAUCUUUGAUCCCAAGAGGAGGAGGCUGGUGUUCAUGCUAUAGAUUACGUUAAAGGUUCCUUUAAGCACUUUAAUACACAACUAGCUCAGAAAUCAUUAAGAGACCUAGAGAAGGAGAAAAAAUACCCUCACACUCACCGGUAAUAAAUGUUGACCUGCAGCAAAAAUCGAUUGAGUGGAACCGAGGUGGUGGCAGUAACGAUGGCUGGGGGUGUGGGGGUGGGGACCCGCGUGGAAGCGGGAGGGGCGAGGGAACCGACUCCGUCAGCUCGGGAACUAGGCUUUUCUCACUUGAAGGGAAAAGGAGGUGCAGAAAGAGGCUGAAAGCCGAGCCAGGGUGGGUUGGGAAAGGGAGGUGAGGAGGGUCAUUCUCCCUUCUGGAAGUCCUGGGAAAGGCGCUGAGGUGGGAGAAAGGGCCUCUCUCAGUCUCCCAAGUCUCCGCCCCCAGCACGCACCACUCAAGUCGGGGAAGUGACAAGUCUUCCCAAACCUCGACUUCCAUUUUUGUUUCCUGCGGAUUGAUUGAUUUCCUCGAAAUAAGAGUUCUAUUUCAGCAUAAGCAGACUAGGCCGAGGUCCACCUCCUCAAUCAGCGCUCCCAAGUCACUCUUGGGCCUGCAGACGCCAAUCCUCCCAGC
rnacentral:lncRNA from 1 species